rnacentral:snRNA from 1 species
AUAAUAAAGAUCUUUUUAACAAAC